rnacentral:rRNA from 1 species
AUUGAACGCUGGCGGCAGGCCUAACACAUGCAAGUCGAGCGGAUGAAGGGAGCUUGCUCCUGGAUUCAGCUGCGGACGGGUGAGUAAUUCCUAGGAAUCUGCCUGGCAGUGGGGGAUAACGUCCGGAAACGGGCGCUAAUACCGCAUACGUCCUGAGGUAGAAAGGGGGGGAUCUUCGGACCUCACGCUAUCAGAUGAGCCUAGGUCGGAUUAGCUAGUUGGUGGGGUAAAGGCCUACCAAGGCGACGAUCCGUAACUGGUCUGAGAGGAUGAUCAGUCACACUGGAACUGAGACACGGUCCAGACUCCUACGGGAGGCAGCAGUGGGGAAUAUUGGACAAUGGGCGAAAGCCUGAUCCAGCCAUGCCGCGUGUGUGAAGAAGGUCUUCGGAUUGUAAAGCACUUUAAGUUGGGAGGAAGGGCAGUAAGUUAAUACCUUGCUGUUUUGACGUUACCAACAGAAUAAGCACCGGCUAACUUCGUG